UGUUUAUCAAAAACAUAGCCUCAGGAAAAUAAAUCUAAGGUUAAACCUGCCCAAUGUACAAUUUAAAUAUACUUAUAAAUGGCCGCGGUACUUUGACCGUGCUAAGGUAGCAUAAUCAAUUGACUUUUAAAUGGAGUCGGGUAUGAAUGGAACCACGGAGUUUAACUGUCUCUAUAUUAAUUUAUUGAAAUUACUAUAUAGGUGAAAAAGCCUAUAAAAUGAAAAAAGACGAGAAGACCCUUAGAGUUUUAUUUAAAAUAAAAUAAUUUUUUAUAAUAAUUUAGUUGGGGCAACAGAGGAACAAUAAUAGUAUUUAAUUUCCUUAAUAAUUAUUUAUCGAUUUUUAUAAAUUUAAGUAAACUACCUUAGGGAUAACAGCAUAAUUUAAUAUAUAAGUUUGUGACCUCGAUGUUGGACUAGGAAAUUAAAAGGCUAGCCGCUUUUUAACAAGGUUCUGUUCGAACUAUAAAUCCUACGUG
rnacentral:rRNA from 1 species